rnacentral:rRNA from 1 species
UUUCCGGUUGAUCCCGCCGGAGGCUACCGCUAUUGGAGUUCGAUUAAGCCAUGCGAGUCGCGAGUCUUAGGGACUCGGCGUACCGCUCAGUAACACGUGGGUAACCCGCCCUAUGCUGGGGGAUAACCUCGGGAAACUGAGAAUAAUACCCCAUAGUUCACCACGCCUGGAACGGUGGGUGGAUCAAAGCUCCGGCGGCAUAGGAUGGGUCUGCGGCGUAUCAGGUUGUAGGGGGUGUAAUGUACCCUCUAGCCCUCUACGCGUACGGGUGCUGAGAGACGUCGCCCGGAGAUGGACUCUGAGACACGAAUCCAGACCCCACGGGGUGCAGCAGGCGCGAAAACUUGGCAAUGCGAGAAAUCGUAACCAGGGAACUCCAAGUGCAUCGGGUAAGACCGAUGCUUUUCUUGACUCUUCAAAGGUCUUGGAAUAAGGGGUGGGUAAGGACGGUGCCAGCCGCCGCGGUAAUACCGGCGCCCCAAGUGGUAGUCGCUUUUAUUGGGCCUAAAACGUCCGUAGCCGGUCUGGUGCAUUCGUGGGUAAAUCAACCAGCUCAACUGGUUGAAUUCUGCGAGCACGGCCAGACUUGGGACCGGGAGAGGUGUGGGGUACUCUCAGGGUAGGGGUAAAAUCCUGUCAUCCUGAGGGGACCACCUGUUGCGAAGGCGCCACACUAG